UACGUAGGGGGCAAGCGUUGUCCGGAAUCAUUGGGCGUAAAGCGCGCGUAGACGGUUAUUUAAGUCGGGUGUGAAAGCCCCGGGCUCAACCUGGGAAUUGCAUUCGAGACUGAAUAGCUAGGGUACGGUAGAGGGAAGCGGAAUUUCCGGUGUAGCGGUGAAAUGCGUAGAGAUCGGGAAGAACAUCGGUGGCGAAAGCGCUCUGCUGGACUGCAACUGACACUCAGGGACGAAAGCUAGGGGAGCGAAUGGG
rnacentral:rRNA from 1 species